GAUGAACGCUGGCGGCGUGCCUAAUACAUGCAAGUCGAGCGAACAGACCAUGAUCUUGCUCCUCUCACGUUAGCGGAAGACGGGUGAGUAACACGUGUAUAACCUACCUAUAAGACUGAGAUAACCUCGAGAAACGGGAUCAAAUACCGUAGAAGAUCUUGAAGCGCAUGGUGCAAUGGAGAAAUACGGUUUUUGUGGCUCUACUAGAUGGAUCUGCGCCGCAUUAGCUAGUUGGUAAGGUAAAGGCUUACCAAGGCAACCAUGCGUAGCCGACCUGAGAGGGGGAUAGGCCACACUGGAACUGGGACACGGUCCAGAGUCCUAAGGGAGGCAGCAGUAGGGAAUCGUACGCAAUGGGCGAAAGCCUGACGGAGCGACGCCGAGUGAGUGAUGAAGGUGUUCGGUUCGUAAAACUCUGUUAUUAGGGAAGAACAAAUGUGUAAGUAAAUAUGCACGUCUUGACGGUACCUAAUCAGAAAGCCACGGCUAACUACGUG
rnacentral:rRNA from 1 species